rnacentral:rRNA from 1 species
UACGGGGGGGGCAAGCGUUGUUCGGAAUUACUGGGCGGAAAGGGCGUGUAGGCGGCUAUGUAAGUCGGGCGUGAAAUCCCACGGCUCAACCGUGGAAGUGCACCCGAAACUGCGUAGCUAGAGUCCUGGAGAGGAAGGUGGAAUGCUUGGUGUAGAGGUGAAAUUCGUAGAUAUCAAGCGGAACACCGGUGGCGAAGGCGGCCUUCUGGACAGUGACUGACGCUGAGACGCGAAAGCGUGGGGAGCAAACAGG